AACCAUUGGCACUACAGGUCCAGAAGCCAUAUACUUGACAAGGCCAGGGAAAAAUGGUCUGCUUGAUAAAUCAGCAUAGUGUUUUGAUAACAAUUCUUCAGAUGCCUGAAAUAAAUAAUAAGUAAUUUGAUUUAAAACGAGAAAAUAUACAAAAUUAAUGUUUGUUCUUAACACAAAAAAAGUCAAGCAAUUCAAAAGUUAUUUUUAGCUACCUCAGACUACUAUUAUUAAUUAAAUUUUUUAUAUUCUUUAUAAAAACUAAAAGUAUAAUGUAUUGCCAAAAAACUAAAUGCUUAUGUAAAAUAAUUUAAAAAAAAUAUUAGUUUUAUGUUAUAAAUUUAAAAUUUUACAUACAUACUAUUUACUAUUAUAAUAUUUUUAUUCCCGAGUUUGAACUUAAUAAAACUAUUACUAAAA